GACGAACGCUGGCGGCGUGCUUAACACAUGCAAGUCGAACGAUGAAGCCGGAGCUUGCUCUGGUGGAUUAGUGGCGAACGGGUGAGUAACACGUGAGUAACCUGCCCUGAACUCUGGGAUAAGCGCUGGAAACGGCGUCUAAUACCGGAUAGGACCUUGGGUCGCAUGAUCUGGGGUGGAAAGUUUUUCGGUUUGGGAUGGACUCGCGGCCUAUCAGCUUGUUGGUGAGGUAAUGGCUCACCAAGGCGUCGACGGGUAGCCGGCCUGAGAGGGUGACCGGCCACACUGGGACUGAGACACGGCCCAGACUCCUACGGGAGGCAGCAGUGGGGAAUAUUGCACAAUGGGCGAAAGCCUGAUGCAGCAACGCCGCGUGCGGGAUGACGGCCUUCGGGUUGUAAACCGCUUUUAGUAAGGAAGAAGCCUUCGGGUGACGGUACUUGCAGAAAAAGGACCGGCUAACUACGUGCCAGCAGCCGCAGUAAUAC
rnacentral:rRNA from 1 species